rnacentral:rRNA from 1 species
CCUACGGAGGCAGCAGUGGGGAAUAUUGGACAAUGGGCGCAAGCCUGAUCCAGCCAUGCCGCGUGAGUGAUGAAGGCCUUAGGGUUGUAAAGCUCUUUCAGUAGGGAAGCGGUACCUACAGAAGAAGCCCCGGCUAACUUCGUGCCAGCAGCCGCGGUAAUACGAAGGGGGCUAGCGUUGUUCGGAUUUACUGGGCGUAAAGCGCACGUAGGCGGAUUGGUCAGUUAGAGGUGAAAUCCCGGAGCUCAACUCCGGAACUGCCUUUAAUACUGCCAGUCUCGAGUCCGGAAGAGGUGAGUGGAACUCCUAGUGUAGAGGUGGAAUUCGUAGAUAUUAGGAAGAACACCAGUGGCGAAGGCGGCUCACUGGUCCGGACUGACGCUGAGGUGCGAAAGCGUGGGGAGCAAACAGGAUUAGAUACCCUUGUAGUC